rnacentral:rRNA from 1 species
UCAAAUUUGAAAUCUGGCACCUUCGGUGUCCGAGUUGUAAUUUGAAGAAGGUAACUUUGGAGUUGGCUCUUGUCUAUGUUCCUUGGAACAGGACGUCACAGAGGGUGAGAAUCCCGUGCGAUGAGAUGUCCAACUCUAUGUAAAGUGCUUUCGAAGAGUCGAGUUGUUUGGGAAUGCAGCUCUAAGUGGGUGGUAAAUUCCAUCUAAAGCUAAAUAUUGGCGAGAGACCGAUAGCGAACAAGUACAGUGAUGGAAAGAUGAAAAGAACUUUGAAAAGAGAGUGAAAAAGUACGUGAAAUUGUUGAAAGGGAAGGGUUUGAGAUCAGACUUGGUAUUUUGUAUGUCUUGCUUUCGGGUGGGGCCUCUGCAGUUUACUGGGCCAGCAUCGGUUUGGACGGUAGGAUAAUGACAUUGGAAUGUGGCACUACUUCGGUGGUGUGUUAUAGACUUUGUUGAUACUGCCUGUCUAGACCGAGGACUGCGUCUUUGACUAGGAUGCUGGCAUAAUGAUCCUAAACCGCC